rnacentral:rRNA from 1 species
AGAUACCCGGGUAGUCCACGCCGUAAACGAUGAUAACUAGCCGUUGGGGGGAUUUACCCUUUAGUGGCGAAGCUAACGCGUUAAGUUAUCCGCCUGGGGAGUACGGCCGCAAGGUUAAAACUCAAAGGAAUUGACGGGGACCCGCACAAGCGGUGGAGCAUGUGGUUUAAUUCGAUGCAACGCGAAGAACCUUACCUGGUCUUGACAUCCUGCGAACUUUCUAGAAAUAGAUUGGUGCCUUCGGGAACGCAGUGACAGGUGCUGCAUGGCCGCCGUCAG